rnacentral:lncRNA from 1 species
CUCAGGAGACUAAGCAGCACAGCUCUUUCCAAUGCACUGCUGAUUAAGGCAGCUAGAAGAGUGAGGGUUUUGGGACCCGUAGGUUUUCUCUGGUUUGCAAGCAGAGGGGUUGCUAUAGCCCUUGUGUGAGGCAUUUAGUGCUAUCAAGUGGCAGUGAACCAGGGCUUUGAGAAAGAAGAAACAGAAGACGAAGGCAAAAUGAAAACAAAGCAGGGGAGGAGCAUUUCUAGACCAAAGAAGGCUGAACUAGGUUUGAAAGGGCAAUGAUGAGAAUCCACAGGAAGGUGGUAAAUAAAACUGCUACUGAAGAGAACAAAAUGUCAGACAUUGGCAUACAUGCCACUGCUUUUCAAGUCUCUCUGAAUAAAAACACUUUUGAGUUGUUGUUGAUUUGUUGAUAUCUAUAUUUUGAUACCUCAAAAGCUCUUUGAGACAUGAAUGAUUUCAAAUAGGACAGUUUUUCCUAAUGGAAAGUUAUCUUUUGGCUUUGUCCUCACUAUAUUCUUGUUCAAUAAAUAUAUGUAAAUCCUAUGUAAAUACUAUCAAAUAAUUAUGUA